AUUUCUUUAUCUUUUUCAAAACCCCCCACCCACCUCAUUUUCUUCAUUGAGGCGAAGCCAUGGAAUGUUCUGUAAAAGGUGAAAUUGAAUCUUUUGAGAAAUUUGUGAAUUGGAGCUUUUAUAUUUUUGUGUUAAAAAAUUAUAAAAUUUAUGGUACUUGAUAGGCAAUUUGUGUCAAAAUUGUCUCAAAGUUGACAACUUUAUUGUUUUAAAUGAAUUUUUUCUAAUUCGUAUACUUGAAUGAAAUUGGUUUGUUUUAUUCAUCAUGUAGAAUUGAAGGUUGAAAUAAUGUUGUAAUAGAGAAAAAACCUUAAAUUGGUGUGUUCAUGGUUGUUAUCUAAUGGUGUUAAUGAAAAAAAUAAAAAAAAUGAAGGAGAAGGCAUUGG
rnacentral:lncRNA from 1 species